AUAGAAGUUACUGUUGGGAGUAACCAUUUUGUAUACAUGAUGUGGCAUCAUCUAGACCACACAUCUCUCAAGUCUAAAAUAAAAAAGUAGAGAACUAAAAGUAGCCAUAACUAGAAACAGUCAUGUAGUGAAUGUAAAGUGUGUACUGCUAUAGUGGCUUCUCUCUAGCAUUACUCUAAA